GCAUUGAAACACUGGUUCUCGUAAAAUCACCGAAGUUAAGCAACGUCGAGUCUGUUUAGUACCUAGAUGAAUGACCUGUUGGAAAUACCCGGUGCU